CCAACACGUGUCUAGGAUUUCCGAAUUCCUGGCGUGGAGCGCCGUCGGUGUCCAGUACCAUCUGGUGUAUAUUUUGUACUUGUUUUCUUGCAGCCUUGCCGAGCUAGGUGCUUUUUGUAUCAGGGUGAUGCUUUUGUCCCAGUCCGCUUCUGUCAUGGGUUCUUCUAGGUCUUCCUCCCAGUUUCUCAUGCAGGGGGGUGCCAGUAGGUACCUACCCGUAUCCAG